rnacentral:rRNA from 1 species
GAUGAACGCUGGCGGCGUGCCUAAUACAUGCAAGUCGAGCGAACAGACGAGGAGCUUGCUCCUCUGACGUUAGCGGCGGACGGGUGAGUAACACGUGGAUAACCUACCUAUAAGACUGGGAUAACUUCGGGAAACCGGAGCUAAUACCGGAUAAUAUAUUGAACCGCAUGGUUCAAUAGUGAAAGGCGGUUUUGCUGUCACUUAUAGAUGGAUCCGCGCCGCAUUAGCUAGUUGGUAAGGUAACGGCUUACCAAGGCAACGAUGCGUAGCCGACCUGAGAGGGUGAUCGGCCACACUGGAACUGAGACACGGUCCAGACUCCUACGGGAGGCAGCAGUAGGGAAUCUUCCGCAAUGGGCGAAAGCCUGACGGAGCAACGCCGCGUGAGUGAUGAAGUUCUUCGGAUCGUAAAACUCUGUUAUUAGGGAAGAACAAAUGUGUAAGUAACUAUGCACGUCUUGACGGUACCUAAUCAGAAAGCCACGGCUAACUACGUG